ensembl:lncRNA
AAAGCCUUUUGCACGGCUGGAGGUUUUGGUGAAGUAACAGCAUCCACAAGGUCUGUAAGACAGUUCGGCAAGAAGGCAACGGAGUGACAAUCAUCUCCACCAUGUUCAGCUCAUAGAAACACUCCAGUAACAGAUGCCACAAGUUGCCUUGACAUUUUCCCAUACAGAAAAUGAUAAAUUCCAGAAUGGAAACUGCGGCGUUUGGUGAAAUAAUGGAGCUUCUGUUUCUCCGCUGCUGUCAGAAAUGGAAAUUCAGCACAAUCUUUUCAUCAGCUUGAAAUGCCACAUCAGAUUAAAAGCCCUGAUGCCAAGUGGAGGGCAUCUGAUACAUUGCCUUGAGCUGUGCUUCUUAAUGCUUUUCAGUCCACCACUUUGUAAAAGCACCUCCACCUCCGUGUUACUCCCCUCAUUAGAGCAGUGCAAACGUGAACGAAUUAACAGAGGUUAAGAUCUUCUGGAAAUAGCUUUGCUUGAGCAAUCUCAAGUCUGCUAUAGGGCUGCCAGGGCAAAAGGGUCACCUCAAGGAGGGAAGCACUCCAGCAGGGACGUAAACUGGAACUCAUUGGUGCAUGCAGCAUGCUCCAUGGCCACAUAAAUCAGACACCGAGACCUCUGUAUGGGAGAGCGAGCAGUGUUCAGUUUGGUUCCUACUACCCCUGGUUGCUGGAGUUGGGUAUUUGAAUGGGGGAGAGUGGUCAUACCAGAUCCAUUUGGUGCACCAGCCAGGCUAAUUAACACUCCAUGAGCUGUAGAAGCAGCCAGGAAGCACCAGAGAGCAGUGCAUAUGAAUCACUGAUCUCUUGAUCUUAGACUUCUCAAAAGUUGCGACAAUGAAGCUGGGUGUGAGUAACAUGCCCAUUGUGGCCAAUUGUUGUCCAAGGAAGCCACUGCCAUCCUGCUUAGACACCAUCUCAUUAUGAAAUCUUUACAUUUCACACACACAUGGAGUGCAUGCUAUGAAGUGCUGUCAUAAUGAAAUAAUGGAGAAUCAAAUGGAAAAAUGUGUGUUUGAGCACUGAAAGCUAGACUUGUAGACCACAGAACAGACUUCACAAGUAGAGGUCAAGGUGGCACCAAUUAGGACAAGAUUAUAUUUAAUGGAGAGUCACCUGGAUUGAAUUAAGCGUAUUUUCUUGGACAUAGCAGGCUGGAAUCAGGAUAAACAAACUGCUCUAGAAUUCCUAGGUGACCUUCCAAUAAUUAUGACCAAAUUUGAGUUUCUAGUCUUCUCAGGCCCCAAAUUAUCUUUUAUAUAAGAAUGCACAUUGCUACUCGGGAGGUCUGUUUGUUGUGAUGAACAGAGCAUAAAACAAAUCUCUCACACACAGUACUGCAGGUGGAGGCUGCAAAGCAGUUUCUCCAACCAAAAGAGCUAAUGGGCCUCCAGUGUAAAACACAUUUUUGUAACUCUUUUUCUUCGGACUUUCUUCUUUGUUGUGAGAAAUGCAAUGCCAAAAGAACUUAACUGCUCUGUUUUCCAGUGCAUAAACUGCUGAUAAGUCACUGGUGUUGUAGUUAAGCAUACAUGUCCACCAGAGUAAAAGCUCAUGCUACAAUUAAGCGCUGGGGCCACUGCUUUUAUUUUUGUCACAAAUUCUAUUGUUGUAUAUCUGAAAUAUGAAACUGUACCUCUUCAUGGGAAUACAGAAUAAACCGUGAUGCAGAUACUG